UACGAAGGGGGCUAGCGUUGCUCGGAAUCACUGGGCGUAAAGCGCACGUAGGCGGCUUUUUAAGUCAGGGGUGAAAUCCUGGAGCUCAACUCCAGAACUGCCUUUGAUACUGAGAAGCUUGAGUCCGGGAGAGGUGAGUGGAACUGCGAGUGUAGAGGUGAAAUUCGUAGAUAUUCGCAAGAACACCAGUGGCGAAGGCGGCUCACUGGCCCGUUACUGACGCUGAGGCACGAAAGCGUGGGGAGCAAACAGG
rnacentral:rRNA from 1 species